rnacentral:sRNA from 1 species
UUGAGUGAGCUGAAGACUGGAGACCUCUAUUUGUCCAUAGAGCAGGUACAGCAUUGCACUAGUAGUGUACACAGCUUCCUACUACCCCACCCAUCUACCUCAAUCCUCAGCUGGAGGAACUACCUCUGGGACUAAAAGGGACGCCCAUUUUUCAAAAGUUAGACUCCAGCGGUA